rnacentral:rRNA from 1 species
CAGCCGCCGCGGUAAUACGUAGGGUGCGAGCGUUAAUCGGAUUUACUGGGCGUAAAGCGUGCGCAGGCGGCCCGUUAAGACAGGUGUGAAAUCCCUGGGCUCAACCUAGGAAUUGUGCUUGUGACUGGCGGGCUCGAGUACGGUAGAGGGGGGUGGAAUUCCUGGUGUAGCAGUGAAAUGCGUAGAGAUCAGGAGGAACACCGAUGGCGAAGGCAGCCCCCUGGGCCUGUACUGACGCUCAUGCACGAAAGCGUGGGGAGCAAACAGGAUUAGAUACCCUGGUAGUCCACGCCCUAAACGAUGGGUACUAGCCGUUUGGUGCGCGAUAGCGCUGAGUGGCGAAGCUAACGCGUGAAGUACCCCGCCUGGGGAGUACGGCCGCAAGGUUGAAACUUAAAGGAAUUGGCGGG